AUCCUACCUUCUUCUUCCCCUCACUCCACCCUUUAAGAUUCGUCCACCACCGCCACCUCCCCAAACCACAACCACCGUACAUUACCAUCACCAACCACCAUAUCCCCAAACCACCUUCAUCAUCUCCGUCACAACCACUAGUCCACCACCCAUCUCCGGCUUCGGACCUGCUGUGACACUCAUAAUAACCAACAACCACAACCCACACCACCCUCAACUAACUACCGGAAAACGACCACACCAGCCGCCUCCCUUGCUUCCCUCACCGUAAACCACCACUCCAUUCGCCCCCCUUAUCGUUCGACUACCAAAUGCUGCAACCCAUACGACAUUUCAGGGCAUCCAUGAAAAUAAUGGUUUCUCCGACACAUUUUCUGGUGUAAAUUAUUCGCAAUUGUCAGGAGAUCUAGCUUACGUUGUCUUAAUCGGGUCCACACUAGAAAGCCUCCUCGCAUAAUGGAUCCCCAAUUUAAACCCCUCAAUGAGAAACACCUGUCACCCAGACUCGAACAUGAGACUUGGAGGGGAAAACUCAUCCGGGCCCACCAUAGGUGGAACUUAAAGGCCCGUGGUCACCACUAAACCACUAGGGAUGGUUCUUUAAGGUUAUUAUAUAGGUUUGAUUUCUUUUUAGUUUGUGUUCAGUUCUUGUAUGCAAUUUGAUUUGACAUAUAUGUUUAUUUGUUUAUAUCAA